GUGCUGGUAGGAAUUUUGUAUGAAGCUGUUAUUGAAGUAGAUGACAUUAAGGUCAAAGGAAAAAAAAAACAGAAAAUAAUGUAAUCCUACAGAGCUGCUCUUAAGAUCUUGAGAGAAAAACCACGUAGGUAACAUCAAACACUAGUUGGAAUCUUUCCAAGAAGUAAUUAUCUGUGUGCUGUUUGUGGUGGUUGAUUAUGGGAACAAACCAAGGUUUAGCCAAUUCAGCAAACAUUUAUGGAGUGCCUGCAAUGUGCAUGUCACUGUUUUAAGGCCUGUGCCUACUGUAAAGGUGACCCACACAUGAUGCCUGCCUUGCAGGACUUGGAGUUCAGCGAUAAUAAGAGAUGCAUACCUGAAAAGCCUAUUUAAGACUCUUCCGGUUCUACAAAGAAGGCUUCUUGAAAGUGGUAGCUUUGAUUACUCUUUGGAUUUAUUUACAUUUAUCCUAUAAUCAGAAGGUAUACAAAACAGACUCACACAUAUAUAAAAUUAAUAGAUUAGAUAGCAUUUAAACAAAUAUUUCAGGUAGGUACUUCAAAUGCAUUUGACAUUUAUCAAAGAAAUGGUAAGUGCUGUCAUCCGUGGGUGGCUGGAUUAACAUGUGGGACUACUUAUCACCAAUUUUGUUAGGGAUCUUAGGGAAAUUCCUGGAUCUUAUAUUCACAAGCAAUUGUAUAAAUACUUCCCACAGCUCAGAGACCUAAUAGGAUGGGGUCUUAGAGAAACAUCUUUUGAGCCACAGACUUCUUUGUUACCAGAAGGAAAAUGAAAGAAGAAAUUUAAAUACCACUUGAAGAGAGGUAAAUAAAUGAGAAAUGGGGCUGAGAGGGCGGGUAUUUUUUUAAAAAUUCAUUAAAUGGAAAAAUCCACAAAUGUUAAUUCUGGUAGAUUUCUUAGAAAUUACAUCAGAGGAGCAUGCUUGGUCUUCCCACCCUCAUUAGGCCUCAGUGACAGGUACUUGAACAACUGAGCCCCUAAUGUGCAUGCUCCCCCACCCCUGAAGCCAGUCUCUGCCCUCCUCUUCCCUCCUCUUGCCCCUGGAAGCUGAUCGCCACCAACUGGCCUCUGGGUGGAUUUGGCCAAUGGAAGCACCUGUAGAGGGAAGAGAGUGAGGUUAGGAUAUUUCUUCCUGCUGUCUCCGUGCUUCCCUGCAGAGAGUGUGAAGAAAUGACCCUGAAAAGCCUCUGGCAGAGGAUUCUUCUUUCAGGAUGGUGUCGCCUCCUCAGCAGCCCAUCCUCCUCCCCUGGACUCAAGCUCUCAUUCCAGUAACACUCCUUCCUCCUUCUCCAUCUUCAGGGGGAGGUUUGCCAGUCGGUGGGUUCUAAGCAUAUCUCGCUGAUUCCCCCCAACCCUGCCGACACCUCUGUAGGUCGUCCCUUCAUUAAAAUCUCUCCAUUUGAACUAUCUGAGUUUAAUUCCAUUUCCUCCUGGUAUCUCAGUGAUACACGGUAUCAGUACAAAAAUCUCGCUUCACCUUCAGAACCAACAGAUUUGAGACAUUUUAUCCUCUGUGGAACCAUUAGUUAUUUUGUCAUUGGUUGUAUCAGAAAAAAAAAUCAGGAAUGCAAAUCCUUCUUUAUUACAGAUUCAGAUUUGCAUAUUACCAAUGUUAUAUAUUUUAAACAAAACUAUUCAUCAUAAGUUUUAAAAAUUAACUACUGGAGUAGUUAAUGAAUCUGAAUGUAAUUAUGUAGCUUUCAUAAUAUUAAAGUAAAAAUACUAAAAGAAGUAUUUCUUAAAGAAGCAAAUGCUCAAUCUCCAAGUAAAUUUUAUUCUAUGCUCUUCCGGUAUAAGAAUAUGUUAAUAUCUUGAAAAAUAUCAUAUUAUUUUGUGAACUCAUAAAGCUAUUUUGAGUUUUUGUAAAAUGAAAACCUUACCAAAAUGUAUUUUAUUGUUGGAAAGCUUGACCGUUACUGCUGUUUAAUUUUUUGAGCUUGUAAACUUUAUUUGUGCAUGUUUUCAACAAAGAAGGAUUUUAUUGUUAUUACAUAAAACAGGUGAUUUCUAGAUUUUAAAAUCACAAAUUGAAAGCAAGGCACAAUAAUAUAUAUUUCAAGAUAUAGGUACUUAGGAGGCAUCCUUUUAGUCAUCUGUUCAAUGUAGCCAUCUAUUUUACACCUACUGUCUACUAUUGUUUGAGGUCCUUGCCAAAGUAUUGCAGGCUAGUUAGGAAACAUAAAACAAUUAGAAAGUAAUCUAUGACAAGUAAGCUAUCUAUAAAUGGCAAUGAAGGGUAGAACAAAUUCAAUGAAAAUAUCUAUUUAAUCCUAGUGUUUACUGGUCUAGAAGAAUAGGCUGAGUAAAUUAGUAUUUCUCUGGCUGUUGUGGUAACACAUUGCAUGCUAUAACAGUUUUAAGUAAUUACAGGUGCAUUGAAAUUUAUCUAUGGCUUUGUCAUCAUAUUCUAAAAUGUCAUGAGUACUUUUUUCUGACCUCAAUUACUAUGAAAUUGGUUUCCAAUAUUUAAUUAACCAAGAAUAUCAAGUCUAUAGGGUAUUAUUAAGGUGAGACUUCUGUAGCCUUUUCAAUAAAGACCAGAAUUUUGGAGUGCCUUGAACCUUAAUCAUUGAUCUUUAAUUCUUAUUAAGUCAACUGCCCACCUUUUAAAGACUGAGGCCCAGGAAGAGUAAGUUUCUCUGAGACAAUGCAUACAGUACAGUGCUUCUUGGGUAUUGGCUCUAAGACCAGAUGCAAAGAAAGGCUAAAAUCCCAUUUCAUUGUUCAUUAGGUGAGAACCCUUUGUUAAGCUGUGUAACCUCUGUGCAUAGUUUCCUCAUCAGCAAAGUCAGAAAAAGUAUGUACCUGAAGGACUGAUUGUAAGGCUGGGAUGAGAGAAUCCAUGUGAUCAGCCCUCACCAACAGGUGCUGCCCAGUUCAUGAGUGCUGCUGCUGUCCUGCCCAAGUACCCAGCUUGCAGAGUGCCAGAGUUAGAGUCCCAGGGGUGUUCUCCACAGCUGCAUGCUUGAUCCAGGCCUAUCAGGUGAGUUGGCUCUUGGCUAGUGGUUUUUCUUCUCUUGCUGUACAAAAGUCCAGACAGUAAUGUCUUUUUUUCAUUUUUAUAGAUAUAUUCCAUUGAAAGUCCUCAUUCUCAAAUUUAAAACAAAGACUUUUUGUGUACCUCAAUAGCAAUGCACACACAGUUGGCUUCACAAACAUAUUGUACAUUUCUUUUUUUCAUAUUUAUUCAACAAAUGUAUAUUGACUACCCACCGUGUGACAGGUGUUAUUUGUUGACGGAACCAGGCAUCAUCAGCAAACAAAACUGACAAAGCUUCCUGCCCUCUGUGGAAGGCAUCUGAGGAAGAGACUGGAUUUUGUAGCAACAUGUUAUUCUCAUUAUAAACUUUAUCAUUGGAAUACUAAAGCCAAAUCAUCCCCCAUCUCCUUGAUCAGGAUACCCACUUAAUCUAGGCAGCUACACAAUUGUGAGAGCCUUUGUUUUUUUCUGCUGAAACAUCCUUAAAAAGAUACCUCACAACCCAAGAUUUGGCUUUUCUUAAAUACGAUUUUUAAUUUUUUUCAUUUCUAUCUAGAGAUUUAAUUGGAAAUGGAAAAUCAUCAAUUUUCCAAUUAAAUGUCUGUUCCAAUCAACAUUAUACCUUUUAGGUUGUCAUUGUCAUUUUUAAGUUUAAGCAACUUUAAGGAUUUUGAAUCUGGCUGCCUGUAAAUUAAAGGUGAAAGUAAUCAUUGUGUUGGAUUGGAACAUUUUGUCAAUUGAGAGUGGUUUCCUUGUUCUUAGUGUAUGAAAAGUUUAUUUUUCUAAUGUAG
rnacentral:lncRNA from 1 species